GCUGGGCGUAGUGGCGUGUGCCUGUAAUCCCAGCUACUUGGGAGGCUGAGGCAGAAGAAUCGCUUGAGCCCAGGAGGCAGAGAUUGCAGUGAGCUGAGAUCAUGCCAUUGCACUUCAGCCUGGGCAACAGAGCAAUACUCCAUCUCAA
rnacentral:SRP_RNA from 1 species